rnacentral:rRNA from 2 species
AGAGUUUGAUCAUGGCUCAGAUUGAACGCUGGCGGCAGGCCUAACACAUGCAAGUCGAGCGGUAGCACAGAGAGCUUGCUCUCGGGUGACGAGCGGCGGACGGGUGAGUAAUGUCUGGGAAACUGCCUGAUGGAGGGGGAUAACUACUGGAAACGGUAGCUAAUACCGCAUAACGUCGCAAGACCAAAGUGGGGGACCUUCGGGCCUCAUGCCAUCAGAUGUGCCCAGAUGGGAUUAGCUGGUAGGUGGGGUAACGGCUCACCUAGGCGACGAUCCCUAGCUGGUCUGAGAGGAUGACCAGCCACACUGGAACUGAGACACGGUCCAGACUCCUACGGGAGGCAGCAGUGGGGAAUAUUGCACAAUGGGCGCAAGCCUGAUGCAGCCAUGCCGCGUGUGUGAAGAAGGCCUUCGGGUUGUAAAGCACUUUCAGCGGGGAGGAAGGCGAUAAGGUUAAUAACCUUGUCGAUUGACGUUACCCGCAGAAGAAGCACCGGCUAACUCCGUGCCAGCAGCCGCGGUAAUACGGAGGGUGCAAGCGUUAAUCGGAAUUACUGGGCGUAAAGCGCACGCAGGCGGUCUGUCAAGUCGGAUGUGAAAUCCCCGGGCUCAACCUGGGAACUGCAUUCGAAACUGGCAGGCUAGAGUCUUGUAGAGGGGGGUAGAAUUCUAGGUGUAGCGGUGAAAUGCGUAGAGAUCUGGAGGAAUACCGGUGGCGAAGGCGGCCCCCUGGACAAAGACUGACGCUCAGGUGCGAAAGCGUGGGGAGCAAACAGGAUUAGAUACCCUGGUAGUCCACGCUGUAAACGAUGUCGAUUUGGAGGUUGUGCCCUUGAGGCGUGGCUUCCGGAGCUAACGCGUUAAAUCGACCGCCUGGGGAGUACGGCCGCAAGGUUAAAACUCAAAUGAAUUGACGGGGGCCCGCACAAGCGGUGGAGCAUGUGGUUUAAUUCGAUGCAACGCGAAGAACCUUACCUGGUCUUGACAUCCACAGAACUUUCCAGAGAUGGAUUGGUGCCUUCGGGAACUGUGAGACAGGUGCUGCAUGGCUGUCGUCAGCUCGUGUUGUGAAAUGUUGGGUUAAGUCCCGCAACGAGCGCAACCCUUAUCCUUUGUUGCCAGCGGUUCGGCCGGGAACUCAAAGGAGACUGCCAGUGAUAAACUGGAGGAAGGUGGGGAUGACGUCAAGUCAUCAUGGCCCUUACGACCAGGGCUACACACGUGCUACAAUGGCAUAUACAAAGAGAAGCGACCUCGCGAGAGCAAGCGGACCUCAUAAAGUAUGUCGUAGUCCGGAUUGGAGUCUGCAACUCGACUCCAUGAAGUCGGAAUCGCUAGUAAUCGUAGAUCAGAAUGCUACGGUGAAUACGUUCCCGGGCCUUGUACACACCGCCCGUCACACCAUGGGAGUGGGUUGCAAAAGAAGUAGGUAGCUUAACCUUCGGGAGGGCGCUUACCACUUUGUGAUUCAUGACUGGGGUGAAGUCGUAACAAGGUAACCGUAGGGGAACCUGCGGUUGGAUCACCU